rnacentral:rRNA from 1 species
UUUCGAAUCAUUCACAAUGGGCGAAAGCCUGAUGGUGCGACGCCGCGUGAGGGAUGAAGGCCUUCGGGUCGUAAACCUCUGUCACCAGGGAGGAAACGCUGCAUUUUAAUAGAAUGCAGCCUGACUUAACCCGGAGAGGAAGCAGUGGCUAACUCUGUGCCAGCAGCCGCGGUAAUACAGAGACUGCAAGCGUUAUUCGGAUUCACUGGGCGUAAAGGGUGCGCAGGCGGCCGUGUGUGUGAGGCGUGAAAGCCCGGGGCUUAACCCCGGAAUUGCACCUCAAACUACAUGGCUAGAGCAUUGGAGAGGGUAGCAGAAUUCAUGGUGUAGCAGUGAAAUGCGUAGAUAUCAUGAGGAAUACCAGAGGCGAAGGCGGCUACCUGGACAAUUGCUGACGCUCAGGCACGAAAGCGUGGGGAGCAAA